rnacentral:lncRNA from 1 species
GCAGCACUGCAGCCCUGGCUGUGCUCAGAGCAGAACGUGCUGAGGGCAGAUGUGCAGCAAGGGAGACUUGGCCUGCAGUAGUGGUCACAGAGCUUGGCACCAGCUCCAAAAACAUACAUGGAACUGCUGUGGGAUGCUCAUUUUAAAUGUCUGUUCACCUGCUUGUGAAAAAAAAAACCUGUUCUGUGAACAACUUCAGCAGUUUUAAAAUAUAAUUAUUGCCUGAGUGCAUCUAACAGUGGUGGCACAACUCAGGGACCACACUGACAACUGAAAAGAAUGUGUCCUGGGACACUGAUAUGUACAGGGCUACAUAUAUAUUGGUGGUGAGGAAAAACUAGUGUACAAAUUUAUUUUAAUAAGCUGGAUAUACAGCAUAAAUAUUUAUUAUUAUAUUUUUCAUUGCUUUAUUUUUGUCUGUUCAGAUGUCGUCUACUUUCCUACCUGGGAGAGGAGCUGAAUGAGCAAGGCCAGCCUGAAUGCCUCAAACUCCUGGGGAAUUUUCUCUUGGAAGCCAGUGGCAGCUUCACAUCUUUGUGUUAAUGUGUGACCAGGAAUAUGCCAAUUUGAUUCACUGCUCUGGAAAUACAGGCAGAAAUGUCAGUAAGAAAUUGGCAGGGUUCUACAGCCGUGGUCUGGCUUUGCCAUUCAAAGUUUAUCAUUCUGCUGAGAAAGCCUUGAGGAUUCCCAAAGCAAUGGUGUGAAAAUCAAGGUAAGCAGUGACUAAAUUAAGUGCAGAGACUAAAUUAAAAUUGGACAUUGUAUUGUGUGCCCAUAGCUGGAAAGGGAAGUUAAAAUUAAAAACCAAAAGGGACUGUGGCCACUCUCUUUUCUUAGCUCUGGAUUUAAACGUUCAGCUAAUAUCUUUCUUCAUUCAGGACAAAGUCUGCUUGAUUCUAGGACAAUAUUGAGUCAGGUUUAGUGUGUCAACAAGAGAGUCAGCCUUUCCUUUGAGAAGUGCAUCACACACAUGGGCACCUACUGUAAAAGGUGGGGAAGGAACUGGUAGUGAUAACUGAGGUGAGGAGCUGAAGUGCUCUUGCUCUCACUCUCUAUUUUUCACACAUAAAUAAGCACACAUAGAUGUCUUUCAUAUCCCUCCUUGCAUCCUUUCCAUAGGCUGCUCUGUCAAGUUGGG